GGUGAACGCUGGCGGUGUGCCUAAUACAUGCAAGUCGAGCGGAAAGACGAGGAGAUUGUUCUUUUACCGUUAGCGGCUGACGGGCGAGUAAGGAGUGGAUCAGAUUCUUCUUUGUCUGGGAUAAUAUCGGGAAACCGGUGCCAAUAAUGGCUCAUAUAUUGUACCGCAUGGAUCAGUAGUUCUUGACGCCUUUGCUGUUUCUAUUAGCUGGUUUCGUGUUGGAUUAGCGAGUUGGUAAGGUAACGGCCUACCAAGGCGACGAUGCGUAGCCGACCGGAGAGGAUGAGCAGCCAAACUGGAAGUGAGACACGGUAGAGAAUACUAAGGGAGGCAGCAGUGGGGAAUAUUGGACAAUGGGCGCAAGCCUGAUACAGCCAUACAGAGGGGGUGAAGAAGGCCUUCGGGUUGUAAAGCCCUUUUGUUGGGAAAGAAAAGAAGCAGGUUAAUACCCCGCGGUUCUGACGGUACCCAAAGAAUAAGCAACGGCUAACUUCGUG
rnacentral:rRNA from 1 species